rnacentral:rRNA from 1 species
AUUGAACGCUGGCGGCAGGCCUAACACAUGCAAGUCGAACGAGUGGCGGACGGGCGAGUAAUGUCUGGGAAACUGCCCGAUGGAGGGGGAUAACUACUGGAAACGGUAGCUAAUACCGCAUACCAUCGGAUGUGCCCAGAUGGGAUUAGCUCGUGGGUGGGGUAACGCCUCACCUAGGCGACGAUCCCUAGCUGGGCUGAGAGGAUGACCAGCCACACUGGGACUGAGACACGGCCCAGACUCCUACGGGAGGCAGCAGUGGGGAAUAUUGGGCAAUGGGCGAAAGCCUGAUGCAGCCAUGCCGCGUGUGUGAAGAAGGCCUUCGGGUUGUAAAGUACUUUUGGCAGGGAAGCGGUACUCGCAGAAGAAGCACCGGCUAACUACGUGCCAGCAGCCGCGGUAAUAC